ACGUGAUUACCCGCUGAACUUAAGCCAUAUCACUAAGCGGAGGAAAAGAAACUAACAAGGAUUCCCUUAGUAACGGCGAGUGAACAGGGAUGAGCCCAGCACCGAAGCCUGUGGCCGUUUGGCCCCUAGGCAAUGUGGUGUUCAGGUCAGCUCGCGGGGAUACUGCUCCACCCUAAGUCCUAUAAUGAGUAAGGUUACUCGGACGUGGCCCAUAGAGGGUGAAAGGCCCGUGGGGGUGGAGACUCAGUUUGGCCAGUAUCUUCCUGAGCAGACCUUGGAGUCGGGUUGUUUGUGAAUGCAGCCCAAAGUGGGUGGUAAACUCCAUCCAAGGCUAAAUACUUGCACGAGUCCGAUAGCGAACAAGUACCGUGAGGGAAAGUUGAAAAGUACUUUGAAGAGAGAGUAAACAGUGCGUGAAACCGCUCAGAGGUAAACGGGUGGAGUUGAACUGCAAGCUCCGAGGAUUCAGCUGGUGAGAUUGGCAUGAGCUUGGUCAUGUGGGUUGUGUGUUCGGGUCUGCUUAGCUGCAGGUCCUCGCCUUUGGUGGGGAUGCGCGUAUCGCUUAUCAAGCGUUGUGCGCCCGGCCUUCUCGAGCCUGCUUGUCAGUGCACUUUCUCAG
rnacentral:rRNA from 1 species